CAUUUUUGCUCUUUUUGUGUGUGCAGAAGACUCCAGCUCUCGGGUAUUCUGUGUUCUUUGCAAAAUACUAGAGCUUUGCCAGAGCUUUGAUCGUCACUGUGCCUUUCCUUUCUCUCCUUUCUUGCAACGUUGAUUAUCUCUGGACUUCUGUUUCUUUUCUUUUUUCUUGCUUUAUUAUAUCUCUCUUUCCAGUUGAGUUGGGCUUUCUUCAGCCGACUUCAACUCCGACGGCAACUUCGUUUCCAGCGAUGUCGAUUUAAACGGUGACUUCGACAGAGUUUCAGGCGAUCUCAAAUUUGACGGCGACGAAGUUUCAAGAGAUUUCAAGCUGGUAAUUACUGUUAUUUUCUAAACUAGGGCUUUUUGGUUGUGUUUUUGAUUGAAUCUCUGGAUCUGGUUCUUACGUUUUCAAUCAAUUAUUGGGCGAUGGAGUGAUCGAUUAUUGGUGAUUAUGGCUUGAUUUUGUGGGUUGUUUAAGUUCAAUUUAAGAGGCACACUGCUCCGGCGUCCACUUUUCCGAUUUCAAGAGGCUAGGGUUCAUGAAUUAAUGAAUGGUAUUUGGGAUUUGAAUAGCCCAAUUGCUUGUAGAGGCUGUCUAAACUACCAUUUCGGCCUUUUGGAUAGUAUCUUUUGCAUAGGAUUGGCUUGAGGCUACUGGAGAUGCUCAUAUACUUAUUUUUUCCCUGUAAAUACUGUAAAUUGGACGGAACAGUGGGCUUUUACUCCCAAUUUUAUUUCCUUUUCAUUUUGGGCAAAUGGGAACUAGGAUAUCAUCUGAAGCAUUUAUAUUUCGGUAACUUGGUUUCCUUUUCGAUUUGUUUGUACUGUCAUCCAAGGCUGGACAUAUAUUUUUUCUCUACUAUUUUAAGUUCUCUGUAUAUGUUUCAUUUAUGAAUCGGUGUACAUAGAUUUGGUUGU